AGUGAAGUUGAACGAAUUGGUAAGCAAUUUGGAGAAAUCUUAAUGGAUAAAAUGACAAUACGAAAAUCUUACUAAUUAUACUGAUUUAAAGUCGACAAUAUUCGAUUUAUUAUACAUGUUUGUACAACUUUUAGUUAUUUUAUAGUACAAUUAAUAAUUUUCCAUAAGACGAAGGCGAAAGUAUGCAUAUGCAACAAUAUAAAGAAUUUUAAUAUUGUUAAGGUUAUGAUUUUUUUAAACCACAAGGUUUUUGCACAAAGUUAAGCAUACUGUCAAAAAUAGUCACAAGUUUUGUGUGUACACGAUUUUGUACUUCUUCGUAUAUUUCAUUAAUUCUUUUGCAGUUUAGUACACUAUUUGUCUCGUUUUAUCGCGAAGAUUUUAAAAGUUAAAUAAUUUUCCCGUCGAAUCAAGAAGGAGCACACCCUACACAUUCAUGCAACCGAAUGAGUGAAUUUUUCCGUCUGCCGACACCGAUAAGCAAUAUUUUCAAUAUUAUAGAAUUAACACAUGCGCUUUUCUUAAAAUGUAAAUUAUGAACUUUCACAAUUUCUAAUAAGCUUGUAAGAUAUAUUACCGGAAUGAUAUUGGUCUGGAAUAUCUUGGUCAAAAUGACCAUAUAAUCCCAAAGUUCUAUAUAUACACCACACCAAAUCACGGCAGCAAGCAAUGAAAACUACGAAAAAUAGACGACUGACUAAAUUGGCGUUGCCAAAUGUUAAAAAAGUUUAUCUCCAGAAAGUGUGGUGAAAUCUGAUAUUUAUAAAUUGACGAAACCAGAGGAUGUUAAUGAACAGAGAGGGCGCAAAUAUUAAGUGUACUAAAACCAAAGAAUUUUAAUGUUCUAUAAACAUUUUUAUGGAGUCAGAUAAAGUUAAUGAAUGAGUCAAUUCGUUUUCUUUUUGUUAUUUUAAUUUUUAUUUAUACGCAUGCGCAUAUAUUUGGUGGUGAAAUUUAAUUUUCGAACUUGCGCUUUUUCAAUGUUCCCUCAUAAAAAUGUAUAUUUUUGAACAGCCAACAUUAGCGCCUGUUCUAUUUAUUAUCAUUCUCUGUUUUAACAACUUGUUAUUACAAAUAUGUAUCGGUAUUUUAUUUCCACUGUUGUGAAUAUUAUAAGAUAUAUGGUUUGUCGAGAUUCCACUUCACGAAACUCGGCUGGGUCAGUGAAUCGUACAGUUAAAAUAUAGAAAAUCGAUGGAAAUGGGAUAAGACAUAAAAAGGCAUAAUGGUGGCCCAACGCUACUAUACCGUAGGCUAACAAAAGCCAAUGAACAG